UGCAAGUCGAACGCUUCUUUUUCCACCGGAGCUUGCUCCACCGGAAAAAGAGGAGUGGCGAACGGGUGAGUAACACGUGGGUAACCUGCCCAUCAGAAGGGGAUAACACUUGGAAACAGGUGCUAAUACCGUAUAACAAUCRAAACCGCAUGGUUUUGAUUUGAAAGGCGCUUUCGGGUGUCGCUGAUGGAUGGACCCGCGGUGCAUUAGCUAGUUGGUGAGGUAACGGCUCACCAAGGCCACGAUGCAUAGCCGACCUGAGAGGGUGAUCGGCCACAUUGGGACUGAGACACGGCCCAAACUCCUACGGGAGGCAGCAGUAGGGAAUCUUCGGCAAUGGACGAAAGUCUGACCGAGCAACGCCGCGUGAGUGAAGAAGGUUUUCGGAUCGUAAAACUCUGUUGUUAGAGAAGAACAAGGAUGAGAGURACUGUUCAUCCCUUGACGGUAUCUAACCAGAAAGCCACGGCUAACUACGUGCCAGCAGCCGCGGUAAUACGUAGGUGGCAAGCGUUGUCCGGAUUUAUUGGGCGUAAAGCGAGCGCAGGCGGUUUCUUAAGUCUGAUGUGAAAGCCCCCGGCUCAACCGGGGAGGGUCAUUGGAAACUGGGAGACUUGAGUGCAGAAGAGGAGAGUGGAAUUCCAUGUGUAGCGGUGAAAUGCGUAGAUAUAUGGAGGAACACCAGUGGCGAAGGCGGCUCUCUGGUCUGUAACUGACGCUGAGGCUCGAAAGCGUGGGGAGCAAACAGGAUUAGAUACCCUGGUAGUCCACGCCGUAAACGAUGAGUGCUAAGUGUUGGAGGGUUUCCGCCCUUUCAGUGCUGCAGCUAACGCAUUAGCACUCCGCCUGGGGAGUACGACCGCAGUUGAAACUCAAAGAUUUGACGGGGGUCCGCACAGCGUUGAGCAUGUGUUUAUUUCGAAGCAA
rnacentral:rRNA from 1 species